AUGCUCAAAUGCUUAAUUUUACAAAAAUUUAUCGAAAGUGUGUUUGGUUCAAUUGAAAUGAAUGUUAUAUUUUACGAAUUACGUGAACGCUUUUGUUCUUUAGUUGAAUUACAUGGAGAUGUAAGAUUAUAUAAAACCGAUCCAGAUCAAACAAAUAAAAAUCUUUAUAAACAUACUAAUAAUAUUAUAACUGAACAUAAAAUCAGUUAUACAAACGAAUACAUGUUUAAUCAACUAUAUUUUAUUAAAUGUUUUUUAUGUAUUCGCAUACUUUUUAACAUUUUAAAAAAUUUUACAUUCGCUAACUCUAUUUAUCAAUACUCUUUUUCUUUGUUCUUUUCGUAUUUCAAGAACAAAGGAAGGAUUAUCACUCCCAGCAAGUUUUGGAAAGAGAUAUUCAACGAAUGUACUAAGCGAUAUAUAGAGAUGUACAAACAAACACCAAAGAAUAUUUUCAAAAUGAAACAAAAACAGUUACAUGUAAACUCACCUGAAUUACUACAAGAUGAAGAACAUGAGCAAUAUCAAGUAUUUGAAAAAUAUUUUACAUACUUUUUCAAUACUUAUAUUAAAGGUUAUGGUAUACCUCAACAUAUAAUUACAUUUAAUAUUCAUUUACAAAGAAAAGGGACAUCCAUGGAUAAUUUUAAUUUCUUAGUGGCACAAAAUGCAAUUACUCCAUUUGAUUUUUGCAAUAAUAACUUUCAUUCAAAUUAUUUCCUUGCAGAUAUCGCAUCAAUGAAUGUAUACAGUUUAUUACAAUUAAAUAAACACUUUGAUAUAAGAACUAAAUUAUAUAUUAGUAAUAUUAAUGGAAGUAUGUGUACAGAUUAUAUUCGGAACAAUAAGAAAUUGAAAAACAUUAAUCGUGUUAAACCCAAAAAGGAUAAAAUGGGUAAAACGGGUAAAAUGGGUAAAACAGGUAAAACGAGUAAAAUGGGUAAAAUGAAUGAAGGGAACAUGUUUUACAAUACUCAAGGAAGAACCCAUCUUGAUAAAAUUAUAUUCGAAAUUUUUUUAAAUCAACCAUAUAUACAUACAUAUGAUAAUAUAGAAAAAAAAUACAUACAAUUUUUAAAAAUAAAUAAAUAUUAUGAUAUAGAUCACACUUAUGAUUAUCCACUAACUUUAUUUAGUGCAAAAAAAAACACUAUUAUUAACCAAUUUAUUAUAAAAAAAAAUGUCAAAAACAAAAAAAAUAUUUAUUUUUUAAUCAAAAAAGAGCCUAUUAUUUUUACAAAAGGUUAUCGACGCAAAUUAAAUAAAAUGAUGGAAAAGGGGAUGAACGCUGAACUGGAAGGAGUAAAUAAGCAAAAAAAAAAAAAAAAAGAAAAAAAAAAAAAAUAGAGACAACAGAUACGGCAAAGGUAACAAAAACAAUAUUAUAAAAAAAUAUGAUUUAACAAACGAUGAAAAUCAAAUAUAUAAACAAUUAAAAACUGGUGAUAUAGGACAAGUGGAACAAAACGAUGAACAAACGAGUGUACACUCUAUAGAAGCAUAUCCCAUAAAUAAUAACGACGUAUGUAACGAACAAAUACAUAGCCAUAAUGAAAAUGAUGGUUAUACAGAAAUGAUAAAUCAUAACCAAAACAACUCAACCAACUCAGACAACUCAACCGACCCAACCGACCCAACCGACCCAACCGACCCAACCAACCCAACCAACCUAACCGACCCAACCGACUCAACUGACUCAACCGACUCAACCGACUCAAUUGACUCAAUCGACUCUAUUACUAAUAAUGCAAAAAAUGAAAAAAAUGAAAAAAAUGAAAAAAGUGAAAAAAAUGAAAAAAAUGAAAAAAAUGAAAAAAAUGAAAAAAAUGAAAAAAAUGAAAAAAAUGAAAAACAAAAUGACUUUCAAACAAAUAAAAACACAAAAGAAAUAGAAAAUAGCCUUACU
ensembl:lncRNA